CUGUGCUCUUCUGAUCUUCGGCAUCGAUAUGGUGAUCCUGGGGGAGCCCGGGACCACCAGGUCACCUAAGGAGGGGUGCACCGGCCCAGGUCGGAGACGGAGCAGGUCAAAGCCCCCGUGUCGCUCAGUAGUGGGAUCGCACCUGUGAAUAGAUGCUGUAGCGCAGCCUGAGCAAUACAGCGAGACUCAAUCUUUAUACACAUCCUUAUACCUGUCUCUACAUCACAGAGCAGCCUCAUCAGCAUGUCUUGGUCUUUUUAAUUCAAGUCCAAAACACUCACAAAUCUGCUGCUCUGCUCGUCCUGCACCACCUCCUCCUGCAGGACAGCUGCAACUACAUCCUCCACUCUAAACACGCCACCGCCCAGCAGGUGGAGACAAACUCAAAGUAGGACAUUUCCUUGGUGAGGAGAGAGGAUGGAACCAAAAAUGCAUUUAUCCCCGUGUUCUGUGUUGAUGAAAAUCACCCAACAGGAAAGCAGCUCGGCAUUCA